AGGCUUAACACAUGCAAGUCGAGCGCACUCUUUUAGAGUGAGCGGCAAACGGGUGAGUAACGCGUGGGAAUCUACCCCUCUCUACGGAAUAACACAGAGAAAUUUGUGCUAAUACCGUAUACGUCCUAUUGGAGAAAGAUUUAUCGGAGAUGGAUGAGCCCGCGUUGGAUUAGCUAGUUGGUGAGGUAAUAGCUCACCAAGGCGACGAUCCAUAGCUGGUCUGAGAGGAUGAUCAGCCACACUGGGACUGAGACACGGCCCAGACUCCUACGGGAGGCAGCAGUGGGGAAUAUUGGACAAUGGGGGCAACCCUGAUCCAGCCAUGCCGCGUGAGUGAUGAAGGGCCUAGGGUUGUAAAGCUCUUUCA
rnacentral:rRNA from 1 species